rnacentral:lncRNA from 1 species
GGUGGCGACGGAAGCCAGCCGAGAUUAAACGUAAAGCCAAAAGCACAUCAUAUGGCCUCUGCCUCAAUUCUGCCUUUUAUCUGCUGCCUCUAUCUCUCCUCUCUUUCUCUCUCUUUCUCUCUCGCCUCCAUUUCUCUCUCUCUCUGUUUCUCUCUCUCUUACUUUACCACUCUCUCUCCUGUUCUCUUUCUCUCUCUCUCUCUUACUCACUCACUCACCCACUUGUGCCCUCCCUCUCUCCAUUCUGUCUUUGGGUCCCUCCUUCUUCCCCUCUCUGUUUCAAUCUCUCCAGUAGGGCAAGAGAGAGAGAGAGUGAAAGAGAGAGAGAAUAAUGAGUGGAAUAAUGUCAGACAACAGGGGAAAUUCCGAACUUUUUUUUUUCUUCCCUGGAAAACUCGGAAGAGAGAGAAAGGAUCACCGGCGAGGGCGGCUACAUGCAGUGGACUGCGGCACCCGGGCAGUCGCUGCUCCUGGCAGCAGAGUAGAUGGUGA